ACAUGCACUUGAAUGGUAUUCUAUAAAUAGGAGUUAGGAGGAAAAUGGCCUCAGCACAAUCCAUUAAUCUGCAAUUAACAAAAUGAAGGCUAUCCAUAUUUUUAUUUGUAUUCUCUUCGCUUCCCUUCUUACCUCGUCCCCUUCAAUUGCAGCUUGCGAACUGGUUGAGAGUAAUGUUAGUGCAGGUUCUGGUGGCCGACACGGGGAUCCCAUGCAAGAGGGCUAUUUCAUGCGGAAAGCCUGACAAUCCCUCGUAUAGUAAAUGCAUAGCGAAACAGAAGCCAAAGUGUAAGGAUCGAUACAAGCGCGACUGCGAGCUGGCACCAAAAGGAAAUUGAACAAGUACUUAAUUACUUGUCAUGGUACUUAAUUCUCGUCAUGAUCAUGAGAAGAACGUAUGUGUCGUUGAGAAUAAAAGUCGAGUUAGUUUGGUUUGAUAUCAUAAGAAAGGACCGGCCUUUGUGAGCUCGAUUUGCUGUGUGGAGAUAUGUAAAAUCAUGUCACUGUAUUUUAAUAUGAUAUACGUGUGCCAAUAAUAAAAGAGCUGACUUGAUUAAUUGGGUUA